CCUUGGAGUGGGGAAUAACAGCUGGAACAGCUGCUAAUACCGCAUGAUAUGUCUGUAUCACAUGGUACUGGACAUCAAAGAUCUAUCGCUCUGAGAUGGGCUCGCGUCUGAUUAGCUAGUUGGUGGGGCAACGGCCCACCAAGGCGACGAUCAGUAGCCGGACUGAGAGGUUGGCCGGCCACAUUGGGACUGAGACACGGCCCAGACUCCUACGGGAGGCAGCAG
rnacentral:rRNA from 1 species